rnacentral:rRNA from 1 species
GACGAACGCUGGCGGCGUGCCUAAUACAUGCAAGUAGAACGCACAGUUUAUACCGUAGCUUGCUACACCAUAGACUGUGAGUUGCGAACGGGUGAGUAACGCGUAGGUAACCUGCCUGGUAGCGGGGGAUAACUAUUGGAAACGAUAGCUAAUACCGCAUAAUAUUGAUUAUUGCAUGAUAAUUAAUUGAAAGGUGCAAUUGCACCACUACCAGAUGGACCUGCGUUGUAUUAGCUAGUAGGUGAGGUAACGGCUCACCUAGGCGACGAUACAUAGCCGACCUGAGAGGGUGAUCGGCCACACUGGGACUGGGACACGGCCCAGACUCCUACGGGAGGCAGCAGUAGGGAAUCUUCGGCAAUGGACGAAAGUCUGACCGAGCAACGCCGCGUGAGUGAAGAAGGUUUUCGGAUCGUAAAGCUCUGUUGUAAGAGAAGAACGGGUGUGAGAGUGGAAAGUUCACACUGUGACGGUAUCUUACCAGAAAGGGACGGCUAACUACGU